UGCGCGCGCGCCCGUGUGUGUGUGUGUGUGUGUGUGUGUGUGUGUGUUCGCGCGCACGCACACACUUGUGUGCGUGUACC
rnacentral:pre_miRNA from 1 species